rnacentral:rRNA from 1 species
AUUGAACGCUGGCGGCAGGCCUAACACAUGCAAGUCGAACGAGUGGCGGACGGGUGAGUAAUGUCUGGGAAACUGCCUGAUGGAGGGGGAUAACUACUGGAAAAGGUAGCUAAUACCGCAUACCAUCAGAUGUGCCCAGAUGGGAUUAGCUAGUCGGUGGGGUAACGGCUCACCAAGGCGACGAUCCCUAGGUGGUCUGAGAUGAUGACCAGCCACACUGUAACUGAGACACUGUCCAGACUCCUACGGGAGGCCGCAGUGGGGAAUAUUGCACAAUGGGCGCAAGCCUGAUGCAGCCAUGCCGCGUGUAUGAAGAAGGCCUUCGGGUUGUAAAGUACUUUCAGCGGGGAGGCGUUACCCGAAGAAGAAGCACCGGCUAACGCCGUGCCAGCAGCCGCGGUAAUUC